UUUGCAGUUUAGACUUGAGGACAAGACACUAAUUUUCUGUCACAAUUUAAAGGCAGACAUGAAUGGAGAGGGAUUCAGGAUGUGACUAAGUGGGAGCCCAGGACCUCAGCAACAGCUGAUACAGAAGGAGUCAAAGGUCAUAGCAGGAAAAGCCAAGUUUUACUAGGCCAAAAUCUGAAUCGUUUAUUAACAUCCUCACUGUUUACAUGUAACCCAUCAACUAGAAGAAUCUGCUGUUAGGUGACCCAGAAAUCCUGAGUCAGACCUACUGAAGUUUGGAAGCAUUGGUCCAGAGAAAUUCUGAUUCUGUUCAUCUAUUAAUCUCCUGUGCAGCCCUGGUGACUCAACAGAUGCUUACCUCCUUAUUGAAUCUGGAUGGGAAUUUUGGUUAAUCAUGAAAUGGAAUUCAGUGUCGAACAAGACAAAGAUCCCUGUUCUCAUAGAAAGAUCUGGACAAUGACAAUCUAAGUACGAGUACCUCAGAAGAAACACAGCCAGAUCAUGUGAGCAGUCCACAGAAUGGAAACUGACAUUCAGCCUGAAGCAGGACACUCUCUCAGCUACAGAAACUGAUAUCCUUGGCACAUGCUUCCACAAGGUGGAUUGUGGGUAAAGUGGCCUUCACACACUAUGAUGUUUGUGGGAUGUUGUUCCCUG
ensembl:lncRNA